GUAAACUGCUUUUAUACGGGAAUAACCCCCGGUACGUGUACCGGGCUGAAUGUACCGUAAGAAUAAGGAUCGGCUAACUCCGUGCCAGCAGCCGCGGUAAUACGGAGGAUCCGAGCGUUAUCCGGAUUUAUUGGGUUUAAAGGGUGCGUAGGCGGCAUGCUAAGUCAGGGGUGAAAGACGGUGGCUCAACCAUCGCAGUGCCUUUGAUACUGGCGUGCUUGAAUGCGGAUGAGGUAGGCGGAAUGUGGCAAGUAGCGGUGAAAUGCAUAGAUAUGCCACAGAACACCGAUUGCGAAGGCAGCUUACCAAGGCGUAAUUGACGCUGAUGCACGAAAGCGUGGGGAUCGAACAGGAUUAGAUACCCUGGUAGUCCACGCCCUAAACGAUGAUAACUCGAUGUUGGCGAUAUACGGUCAGCGUCCAAGCGAAAGCGUUAAGUUAUCCACCUGGGGAGUACGCCCGCAAGGGUGAAACUCAAAGGAAUUGACGGGGGCCCGCACAAGCGGAGGAGCAUGUGGUUUAAUUCGAUGAUACGCGAGGAACCUUACCCGGGCUUGAAAGUUAGCGACGCACCCAGAGAUGGGUGUUCCCUUCGGGGCGCGAAACUAGGUGCUGCAUGG
rnacentral:rRNA from 1 species